rnacentral:rRNA from 1 species
UACGAAGGGGGCUAGCGUUGCUCGGAAUCACUGGGCGUAAAGGGUGCGUAGGCGGGUCUUUAAGUCAGGGGUGAAAUCCUGGAGCUCAACUCCAGAACUGCCUUUGAUACUGAAGAUCUUGAGUUCGGGAGAGGUGAGUGGAACUGCGAGUGUAGAGGUGAAAUUCGUAGAUAUUCGGAGGAACACCAGUGGCGAAGGCGGCUCGCUGGCUCGAUACUGACGCUGAGGUGCGAAAGCGUGGGGAGCAAACAGG